AUGAGGGCCGCCGCCGGGGCAUGCUCCGGCGGCGGCAAGGACACCCUGGUGGCCUCCUUCCUCCGCUUCAUCCUCCUCUUGCUUCUCCCUCUCACCGCUCUGUAUAUCCUCUACGCCCUGCACGCCAUUCUGUCCUCCUCGUGCCCGCCUGAACAUGAUCGCCUCAUGGCCGCCGCCUUCGUCUCACACGUCACCGCCCACAACCAUACAUCGUCGACGCCGCCGCCUCCUGCCAUGGUCACGGUAUCGACGCCGAGGACGCCGCCUCCACUGGCCAUUGACACGGUGCCGACAGCGAGGAUGACGCCCGCCACGGUCACGGUGGUGUCGACGGCGAGGAUGCCUCCACCACCCGCUACGGUCACGGUGGUGACGAGGGCGACGAUGCCACCACCACCCGCCACGGUCACGGUGACGACGGCGAGGAUGCCACGUCCACCCGCCACGGUCAUGGUGAAGACGGCGAGGAUGCCACCACCACCCGCCACGGUCACGGUGACGAGGGCGAGGAUGCCACCAUCACCCGCUGCGGUCACGGUGGUGUCGACGGCGAGGGUGCCACCACGACCCGCCACGGUCACGUUGGUGUCGACAGCAAGUACGCCACCACCAUCACCACCUGCCACGGUGACGGUGUCGACGACGCCGACGACGCUGCAGCACGUGGUGUUCGGCAUCGCGGCGUCGGCGCGCAUGUGGGAGAAGCGGAAGGAGUACAUUAAGAUCUGGUGGCGCCCUAACUCAGGCAUGCGGGGGUUCGUGUGGCUGGACCGAGGGGUGCGGGGGUCGAGGGUGCCGGAGGGGCUGCCGGCCAUCAAGAUAUCCUCUGACACCUCCGGCUUCCCCUACACGCACCGGCGCGGCCACCGCUCUGCCAUCCGCAUUUCCCGCAUCGUCUCCGAGACCUUCCGCCUUGGGCUCCCAGGAGUGCGCUGGUUCGUCAUGGGCGACGACGACACGGUUUUCCUCCCAGACAACCUCCUCGCCGUCCUCGGAAGGCUCGACCACCGGCAGCCAUACUACGUCGGCUCCCCCUCCGAGAGCCACCUGCAGAACAUCUUCUUCUCGUACGGGAUGGCGUUCGGCGGCGGCGGCUUCGCCAUCAGCCAGCCACUGGCGGCGAGGCUGGAGCGGAUGCAGGACGCCUGCAUCCGCCGGUACCCGUGGCUGUACGGGAGCGACGACCGGAUCCAGGCGUGCAUGGCGGAGCUGGGCGUGCCGCUCACGAGGCACCCGGGGUUCCACCAGUACGACGUGUACGGUGACCUCCUGGGCCUCCUCGCCGCCCACCCGGUGGCGCCGCUGGUGUCGCUGCACCACCUCGACGUAGUGCGGCCUCUCUUCCCCAACGUGCGCUCGCGCCCGGCGGCUCUGCGGAGGCUGUUCGACGGGCCGGUGACGCUGGACUCGGCGGGGGUGAUGCAGCAGUCGAUAUGCUACGACGCGGCGAACCGGUGGACGGUGACGGUGGCGUGGGGGUUCGUGGUGACGGUGACGAGGGGCGUGAUGCCGGCGCGGGAGAUGGAGAUGCCGACGCGGACGUUCCUGAACUGGUACCGGCGCGCGGACUACAAGGCGCACGCGUUCAACACUCGGCCCCUGGCGCGCAACCAGUGCGAGAGGCCCGCGCUCUACUACCUGGCGUCGGCGCGGCGCACGGUGGUGCGCACCGGGGAGACCACCGUGACGAGGUACCAGCGGUGGCGCCACCGCAACGACGUACGGCCGCCUUGCCAGUGGAGGAUCCCCGACCCGGACGCGCUGCUCGACAGCGUCAUCGUGCUCAAGAAGCCUGACCCCGGGCUAUGGGACCGGUCGCCGAUGCGGAAUUGCUGCAGGGUGCUGUCCUCUCCGAGGAAAGAAGGGGGCGGGAACAAGACGAUGACCAUAGACGUGGGUGUAUGCAAGGACUGGGAGUACAGUCAAGUAUAG
rnacentral:rRNA from 1 species